rnacentral:rRNA from 1 species
UCGACCCNUUCUGUGCCGGAGUUAACGCAAUAAGUACCCCGCCUGGGGAGUACGACCGCAAGGUUGAAACUCAAAGGAAUUGACGGGGGCCCGCACAAGCGGUGGAGUAUGUGGUUUANUUCGACGCAACGCGAAGAACCUUACCAGGUCUUGACAUUGAUGGACAGAACUAGAGAUAGUUCCUCUUCUUCGGAAGCCAGAAAACAGGUGGUGCACGGUUGUCGUCAGCUCGUGUCGUGAGAUGUUGGGUUNNNNNNCGCAACGAGCGCAACCCCUAUCUUAUGUUGCCAGCACGUAAUGGGGGGAACUCAUGAGAGACUGCCGCAGACAAUGCGGAGGAAGGCGGGGAUGACGUCAAAUCAUCAUGCCCCUUAUGACCUGGGCUACACACGUACUACAAUGGGAGUUAAUAGACGGAAGCGAGAUCGCGAGAUGGAGCAAACCCGAGAAACACUCUCUCAGUUUGGAUCGUAGGCUGCAACUCGCCUACGUGAAGUCGGAAUCGCUAGUAAUCGCAGGUCAGCAUACUGCGGUGAAUACGUUCCCGGGCCU